UACGUAGGGUGCAAGCGUUUAAUCGGAAUUACUGGGCGUAAAGCGUGCGCAGGCGGUGAUGUAAGACCGAUGUGAAAUCCCCGGGCUUAACCUGGGAACUGCAUUGGUGACUGCAUUGCUAGAGUAUGGCAGAGGGGGGGUGGAAUUCCACGUGUAGCAGUGAAAUGCGUAGAGAUGUGGAGGAACACCGAUGGCGAAGGCAGCCCCCCUGGGCCAAUACUGGACGCUCAUGCACGAAAGCGUGGGGACA
rnacentral:rRNA from 1 species